rnacentral:rRNA from 1 species
UUUAAUUGGAGAGUUUGAUCCUGGCUCAGAAUGAACGCUGGCGGCGUGCUUAACACAUGCAAGUCGUACGAGAACUCUUUAAGCUUGCUUAAAGAUAGUAAAGUGGCGCACGGGUGAGUAACGCGUGGGUAAUCUACCUCCGAAUUGGGGAUAACAUAGUGAAAGCGAUGCUAAUACCGAAUAAUAUCCCGAGAACCUAUGUUUUUGGGAUCAAGGGUGGCCUCUACAUGUAAGCUACUGUUUGGAGAUGAGCCCGCGUACCAUUAGCUUGUUGGUAGGGUAAUGGCCUACCAAGGCAACGAUGGUUAGCUGGUCUGAGAGGAUGAUCAGCCACACUGGAACUGACACACGGUCCAGACUCCUACGGGAGGCAGCAGUGAGGAAUUUUGCGCAAUGGGGGAAACCCUGACGCAGCAAC